AAGGCUAUGAGGAAUUUUUCCCUUUUGCUGCAGGGUGUUGGGGAAAAAAUGUGUCAGGAUGUGGUGAUGGGAUUACCCUGCCACAGCCAUGCUGGGUAAUGGAACCUUCUCCAAAAAUUCAUCAUUGUUUGGGGCUGAAAAGUCCUGCUGGGGCUAGAAGGUCCAAGCUGGACUUUUGAGCUGAGAAUCACCUUCUGGAGAGCAGAUGGGACCCUGCACUGAGCAUAGGUCUUCUGCUGGUGCUGAGCUUCGAUGGGAAAGCACUCAGUGGGUUUUGGGACUGUGGAGACCAGUGAAGGCUCAUCCAGGAUUUUCCUGGGCUGGAAUUUAUGUAUGCCCCUGGCCAGCUGAUGAAAAAUCUGGAAAACCCAGGACCUGCCAUGUCUUGCAGAGCCACUGGCUUGGUGUAGGCAAAGCCCAAGCCACUAAUUACCUGCCUGAGGACAAAAAACUUGUGGAUUUGUGUUUUCUUAGUGUCUGAUCCAAGGAGGUCCCCAUCCAAGUGGCACCAAGAGUGCCCCAGGGAGAUCUGGCGUCCUUCUGGAGAACAUGCAAAGCAGGAAAAGCUUUGAAAGCCAAGAGAAGGAAGAGGAGAUCCCUGGGUGUCACUGAGCAUCUCCUCCAGGCCUGGCUGAUGCAAUGCACUGAAAAUUGCUGCGUGGGAAGAGAGGUGUCUGAAGGUGAUGAAUGGCUUUGCUAUGUUUGCCAAGGAGAUGUUUUCCUUUGAUGGGCACCAAAACACCUGGGCUUGCCCUUCCUGGCUGGAAGAGUGAAAUUCCCUAAAACAGCUCACAAAUACAGGCCAAAUCGGUGGUUUCAGGAGAAAAAGAGGAAGGCUGGAGGGGAGAGGCCAGGCCCAGCAAUCUGAGCUGGUUCUUCAAGGCAUUCCAGCCCCAGCAGCAUCCCGUGGAGAGGAGUUCCCUGGAUGAACAUGCAGCCUUAGCUCACCUCUGCCAGGGCAGGGACCUGGCACUGGAGCAUCACCAGUAAUUUUCCACCCGUCUCCACACUGUGGAAAUACACCCAGGCAUGGAAAAAGCCUAGAAGGGAAUAAAGAAGACACUUGGCCAGUAGAGCUUGGCUGGCUCCCAGCUCAAGGAACAGCUUCAGGUUCAUCCCCAGCUCUCUAGUGCUUGGCAGGCUCGGCUGUCUCAGCUCCUACAAACGGGACAGGCCAGCAGCAUUCCUGCCAAAACCCCGGGUCCUCCCGCUCCAACAGCUCCCUGCACCCCCGGGUUAGCUGCAAGACAAAAAGGGGGGAAAGUGGCCUUUUCGUGGGGUUUGGUUGGGAUUUUUUCCUCCUUCUCACCGCAGAGAAAAGGAGAAGGAAAUACUUGGCACGGAGGGCGGAGCGAGGGGGAGCUUGGGGACAGCGGGGAUGUGGCAGUGGGAGGCGAGUGGGCCCUUUAUGAGGCUCUAAUUACUCCAGCCAAAACCCACAUUCGCCUUGAUGAGUGAAAAGAGGUUUUUACGAGGGCAGUAAGAUGUCCCAGCCUGCCGGGGCGGUGAUUGCCAGCCAAUGGCCUGGGGCUCUCCGAGGAGCCGCUGGUGCUGCUGCUGCAAUUCGACUCCAGCUCGGCAAGAGGGUCCGGCCGUUUCCCAACCUCGCGGUGCUAAUCCCUCUUACCUCAGUGGUGCAGCAAUAACCCCCGGAGCCACCACCACCUCCCGCUGCCGGCGGUGCAGAGCACACCAUGUUCCCAGACAAGGCUCCUCACACCCUGCGCGGCCCCGGCAAACAAGAGCGGCUUCCCAAAUCCCACGAGCAUCCUUCCCCCAGCAGCUUUCCUUGGAAAACACCCUCGAAGAGUCACUGUCCCCAGCCCAUUUCCUUGAAAACUCAGGUUGGUGUGAAAACGGUGCUGAAACAGGCUGGGAAGGGGGCAGCAAGGGCAGAGUGACCGAGGUCUGUGAUAUCCUCAUGAGUCCAGAGAAGAUAAGUGAUGAGAGGGUGAUGACUCACUGCCUCUUGUGCAAAACCCAGCACCAUCCGAUGCAUCCAGCAUGUCCAAAGAUGUUUCUCCAUAGAAUUUCUCCUGACAGGGGAGGAUGAGGGCGGCUUCAAAAAGCAAUUCCUGGAAGAGGAAGCCACCCAAGACACCUAGACCACUCACUCUGCUGGGUGUAGAAGCUCACUGAGGCCUGAUGUUUUCCUGGGAUCCUCUCCUUCAGCCGAUGGUAGUGGAGGAUGGAAACCAAUCAGUGAAAUGUUGCUCCCACAUCUAAGGCACAGGGUAGCAGUCAGUUCCUGGGGACAGGCAGGCCAAGCUGCAGGGUCAGGACUGGCAGGUCUGAGCAGGGGCAGGAGGGGGUUAUUUGUUAGGGGUGGUCAUGAAGGAAACAAGAUAUGCCCUUUCCCAAGGAGGCUGAAGGGAGCUGAAGACACCAGGAUUUAGCCCCUGGGAAGAAUGAGUCAGUCACAGGGGUGACCACAGGGAUCUGUUAUCACAAGGAUCUGUUAUUGGUGGAAAAUCUGUCUCAUGAGGGCAUCAAAGCAGCUCCUUGUGUGCCAAAAGGAAGGGAGAAGGGGAGGAAAAGAGGACAAAGGUCCUCAGUGCCAGGCAAGGAGAGUUCUGUGGCCCCCAGCCUCUCUGGGAUGGUGCAGGAGGGGGUUCAAAGCCCUGUGUCCUUCCAUUUGAGAGCUUCUUCAGCCCAUCCUGACAGCCCAGGGGCUGGGGGAGCUGGGAGGGGAAGGUCUCAUUCUGACAGCACCACGGAGCCAGAGCUGGGCCCAGCGUGUGUUACUCACCUUUAAACUAUGUGAGUAAACAGAGAAGGCUCCUCUUCCUGGUCCCACCUCAGCAAUUAGGCUGCAGGCUGGAGCAGAGGAGCUUGAAUCCACCCUGGCAGAUCACAGGGAUGCUCUGCUCUCUCUGCUGAAUCCUCAGGCCAAGCCACCCUGGAGAGGAGGAUGGUGAAGCUCCAGUUGGCCUCCUGGACCAUCCCCUCCUAUAUGGAGCUUCUUGGAGAUGUCCCACCAGGAGGAAAACACCCCUUUCCCAUCACUUCUGGUGUUUUCACAUGGGAAUAAAUCACAUGGGACUCCAUUUUCUUCAUGGUGGAAAAAAAACUAUUCUUUAUUCGCAUAACUCCUUUUCAAACAGUUUUACAGACCUCGUGUGUGACUCCAAUGGGUUAGUAGCUUUCUUGUCAAUUAUUGAUUGGUAACAAGUUGUUAUUCUGUAUUGAUUAGUCACUCAAACCCCUGGGGCGUACGUGCAGGAAAAGUUGUUUGUGAGAGAUAGUUUUCAUUUUAAUAUUUAAUGGUGUAAAAACAGUUUAUGCAGGUGCCAGUUGUUUUUCACCCAGGAAUAGAUUGUUAUGCUAAUGAACUGCUCACAACAGGAUUGCUUUCACAUGGGAACUUGCCAAGUGCCUUAGAAGAAAUGGCAGGCUAGCCAGAGCAGGCCUGAUUUUAUGAAGCCUUUCUUUUCGAUUUUUCUGCAUUACUGCAACAUUUUUAUAACUGUGUUACCAUUUUUCGAUGCUGAGCAGCAGCGACACUCAUGGCUCACUGUGACGUGGGGGAAGUGGAGCCAACUGGGAAGAAUUCAGUUGGGAGACUCGGCACCAGCUGGGAGGAAGAAGAGAUGAUCCCACAGGAAAGGGACCUCCCUGCUGGCACAGCAAAAGCCUCUGAGCUCCAGGGAUUUGGUGGCCACCACUGCAACAGUGAGUCCCAUUGGAUCCUGAUAUCUUCCACUUUAGUCCUUGGGGUUCCCAGAGAGGCUUGGCUCUUCUCUGUGGAAAACCUUCAUCCAUCUUGGUGUCCUCUUCCCCACCAGUGCCUAGAGGAAGAGGAGAGACCACCCUGGACCAUCCCCUAGAGGGAAGAGAGCAGCCUGCAGGGCAGAACUGGAGCCAGACCAGGGCCAGGGGAUCUUGCAGAAGACUGAAGCGUUUCCAGGAUUGCCAGUGGUCUCUGCAGGCAGGAGAGGGAAUAAAAUGGUCAAAUUCCUCACAAUUCCAUGCCUGUCCUCCCACACAGAGUAAAGGAAUGCGGGAGAUACCGCAGCAAUGCCAUGCAAACACCCUGGAGAGGUGAACCUCCUCCUGACCCCAGCUAGGAGAGAACAAAAACUGUUUUAAAGACUUUUGGAGCAUCUUGAUACAUCUGUGGGAGGCUUGUGGGCACUGGAUGUGUGGGAAGCAGCUGAUGGGUCGAUAGCCUGCAGGAACACCGAACACAUGGACAUCAGAGAUAAGUGGUGGAGGCAGAGUCCAGAGAUGUUACAGAGACCUGUAGCCAUUCCCACGCUGGGAAUCAUGUAGAAAUAAAUUAAUUAACCAUUCCAGAGCUUUAGGUACAGGCAACAACAUCUCUGCUGGCACGGACACAGGGAUUCUCUUUGGGAAUGAGGCCAAGGAUGUGAAGAGAAGGGGAAGAAGGUCCAUGUGUUGCUGAGGUUCAAACUGGGUGACCUCAACCAGAGCAGAAACAAAGGGAGGGGAAAAAAAAACGAGGUAAGAAAGGCAGCUUCCUCAGGCUGAACCCUUGCAAGACUUACUCAGAGUUACAUCAUAGUGCUUAUUAGGAUGCAGAUCCCUGAGAGCCAUGGCUCCAGAGCCUCUGGAAGGAUCCCUGGGGAUGUGGGACUCCCUGGCCAGCAGCCAGGGUAGUAGGGAUGGCACCCCAAUCCCAGCUGUGCCACUGAGGCCAGCUUCCCAAACACGGGCACUGCUGCUGUCCCCACAGAGGGACUUGGCUUUGUUUGGGAGCCCAGGGAGGUGAGGGGUGUUUGGGCACGGGGCUGCCUCCUCUCUGUGCUCCUCUCAGUGUUCUGUGGCUGGCACUGCACAGCUGCUGCUGGCCAGAGCUGAGGACAGCUCACCAGCUUCCCUGAGCUGGCUGUCACCACACCCAAGGCUUUUCCAAGACCACAGAACUAUUCCUCACCACACAGCACUGAGCAAGGUGGUUUCCCUGCCCUGGCUGCUCUCCUCCUCUGUACCAGGAAUGCUGGGAUGUCCCUGGAGGUGCCCAAGGAACAAACCCGGGUAGGGGGCUGCUUC